GACUGUUUUCCAGGCCACUCUUCUCUCUGUCUUAUUUGCAGGUUCCUUCUUUGGCCCUUGUUUCUAAGGGUUUUCCACUUUUUUCUUAUUGUUCCCUCUAUUCUCUCCCUCUCUCUCCAAUAUACCUUGGGAUGCUUCACUUCGAAUUAGCUUUUCUUCCCUCAAACCCACUUCCUUUUGUUCCCAAUUUAGAUCCAUGCCAACUCCCAGCAGAAACCACCAGUCAUUUUGACCUCCUUCCUGCAACUCCCUCUACAGCCUCAUCUCUUAGCACUCCUCCUGUGCAGCCAGGCGGCCCAUCUAACCACACCACAGUUCUCCCUCGAGCAUGGCCCACAGCUUUGAUAUCCUUAUACAAUGGUGCCCUUCCUUUACAUCGCUCUUAACCUUCAGAUGUCCACUCAAGUGCCACAUACUUUGUGAGGCUUUUCUUCAUCUUCCUAAGAAUACUCAUUUCCUCCCCGAUGUUCCCAAACCACUUUGUGUACGCCAGUGACGCAGCGUUUACCAUCCCGGCACCUCUGGUACCUUUGAACAGUCCCACCCCACUUCAUUUCUGUUUCUGUCUUCAUUACUCCUUGAAGGAAGAGGCUGUCUUGCAUUCCCCACGACGUCCUAGCUCACAGUGCGUCUCCAAAGACGUCCGCUUUGUUGAACUAAUCCAACUGUCUGGUAAGGUUUAUAUAGAAUCAUCAUUAGAAAUAAGGCUUAUAUUAAGUCAUUUUUGAGUCCUCUUGCACACUAAUCAUUCAUUAUGUAAGACCACAAAAUAAAACUCGAGGUGAUUAAUAUGACACUAUUUUUUUCUUCCUAAAAUAAGUGUUUUCACAAAAUAAAACUCUUUAAAGUUCUCAUCCACUGAAAGUUACCUGCACUGAACAAAUAAAAGAGAUUCUCUUGAGAACACCAGUUUCCCAAGUCAGCCAACUGCUUACUGUUGCUUUCUUGACUCCUCCUUUAAAAGUCCAAAAUGACAAAUUAUCUCACAGGUCCCUGAGCAAAUAUUUCAUUGCUUUCUGAAAUGUCAGUGCUGUGUCUAUUCCUACUUAGGUUUGCCUCGUUCUAAACCAACGGAAAUAUCUCUUCCUGCCAGCUGACAUUUUGUUUUAUAAAAUUCUUUUUAUCCUUUCUUAUUUUCCAGAAUAUAAUUUCUUUGAUGAGCCUCUCCUUAUUUCUAAACUUUGGGGAAUUAAACUCUCUGUAAUUUCAUUAUCCCAUUGAAAGGCAGGAAGAAGCAGCUAAGCUCCAAAGAAGAUGGCAAUAAAAGUGAAAACUGGAGAAACCAGAGCCAAAGACAUUUCCAAAGGUUUAAUUUCCAAAGAUAGAAUUGGGGGUCUGCAAGCAUAAAUAUUUAUGUUGUUCUUGAUACAUAUUCCCAAACUGUCUCUAAAAGUAUUGCACAAAUUUCACUGCCACCAAUAUUCUAGGACAAGAACCUGUAACUCGCCAAGCUGCAGACGGCAGGAACAAAAGAGUUGUAACACUACUGUUUGCCAAGCUGCGGGUAGCAGGAACAAAAGAGCUGUAACCCACUCAUUCACUGAGCUGCAGAUGGUAGGAAUAAAAGAGUUGUAACCCUUCCUCCCGCUCACCAGACUAUGGGAACGAAGAAGCCAUAAUACUAACACUAGCAAUUUCACUGCAAGUAAAACUGGUUGUCUUCACAUAACUAAUUGUCUUCAGAUAACAUCUUAUUCCCUAUAGAAUUAAUUGAGCCAACCUCAGAUAUCUUAAGAAAAAAUAUAUAUUAAAUUCCAAAUACAGUCAUUAUUCAGUUGCUAAUAAAUGACUGUUGUAGUUCUUCAUUCCAGGUUCUUCAAAUCCUUUGGUUGUAAAAUAGAAAGCUGUGCCUUAUAUUUCUAUCAUGGACAUAAAAUUUUCAACUGCCAUUAUAGGAGACGAUUGUGUAAAUUUUUUUAACUAUGAAUAAUAUUUUCUUUAAUUGAUCCAAAUAAAAUGUUUACUUUUUAAAACUAAGCGAGUAGUGCAUCAUGAAUUUAUCUUUUGGUUUACUCUCCUCUAACGCCCUGAGUCACUGGCAGCUUUGGGACAAACAACUUGGCUUUUCUCACUUGAGAGAAAUCUAUACUUCUUAUUGUGAAUGCUUGUCACUUUAAUAUGAGGUAAACAUUUUCUCCCAAAACAGGAAAUGGGAGGUCACACUAUUAUGGCUAUAAAGAAAAAUGAAAAAUGCUACAAAAAUGAAGGCAUUAAAAAAAUGAUCAUGAGCUACUCUCAUAAUAAAAAAUAAACUUUCAUUUUGUGUCCUUUGACACACAGCAUAAUGAAGCAGGCAUGAACAGCUCAGAGUGAUCUAAAAAUCACCAAGUAUAGUUUUCUACUGUAUCAAAAAGGUGUUAUUUUUAGCACCUGAAAGCCCGAAUCAUCAAUAAUUGGCAUUUUAAUGUGAAAGUCAUCAAGACCUGUUUAUUUAAAUGAUCUUUGAUCAAUUCCCUGCCAAGUCUAAUUUGUUUCCCUGUCCUUCAGCCACAUGGUUUCCUAUUCCAUUUUCUAAAUGAGAGACUAUAUUUUACUAUGAAGGCAAAAUUUUCUUUAAAGACAACUGAAUUUUGUUUUUAGUUUAGAACCAAUCCUCUUUUCCUUUGCAUCUAAUAAAGAGGAUGUGUUUUCUCAGUCUUGUUUUCUUCUCACACAUACAUAAAGAAUAUUCUGUCCCUUAGUGUAUUUUACCUUCCAGUCACCAUAUAUUUCCUGGUUUCAUCUUUUUAUGCCAUCAUUGAUAUGCCUUAUUUCUGGUUUAAUACUUACUCUAAUUCCUAAUCUUCACUCUUGGGCAUUUUAAAUGUGCAGCUCUGUGUAGCUACCUGGGUUUCAUCCUGUUCUCUUCAAUCUUGCCAUCCUUAUAAAUAUUGUUGCUUUAAGAAAUAAUCUAAUUUUCAUGGUCCUUCCACUUGCAUGACAUUUUCCAAUAAUAUAUUUAAAUUAUUACACUUGACUCUCCUGAAAUUCGUUUUCUUUAGGUUGCUUUUCCACUUCUUUAGUAGUCUUUGUGUAAACAUCAAUCUUUAAGUGCAUUUUCUUUAUUAACUUACAUGUUCACUUAAGAAAUAGCUCUAGUCUGAAGGUCAAAAGUCAGAAGUAGCUAAAUACUAGCACAAUCUCACCUCCCUUUUUGCUCUGUCUCUAUUUUUUGUCUCUCUCCACAGACCCUACUCACUGGUAUUUCUGCCUGACCAUGUUCAGGAUAUACUCUCCCACCUUUGAAUUAAUAGACU